rnacentral:lncRNA from 1 species
UUAGAUACUACUAAUCUCACGUGCCAUCAGAAAGCAAAGCAAAAAAAAAAGACCCAAGCAUAUAAUAUUAGUUAACUUUUCAAGUGCAUAGUCUAAGAAGUCGCUGGAUUUAAGAAGAAAAGGGGGCUAAAAUUGACAUGCUACAAACUGUUCAUCCACUGACAUUGUGUGUAAUCAAAAUAUUUUUUUUUUGAAAGAACCGUACAACACAGUGCAAGUUUUUAUUAAUAUAGCAGAAAAAAGAUAAGACCAUAAUCUUGAAAAACCAUAGUCAGGAAAAGAAAAGAAAACUAG